GACUCUGAAGAACGGCGUGGGAUGGUUCCUUUCAAAUGCACUUGAGCAGCGGUCUCCAACCACAGGGCCACAGAGCUGGAGCUGGAUCUACCAUGAAAGACUUGUGAAUCCAGGAAGAGAGACUGACUGGGCAACAUGUUAUUCAGGUGGGAACAUCCAGUUGCAGGAAAACAAGCUUAACACGCCCACUGAUUCUACAUUAUGCUCCUACCUCCCGGCAGCCUCUCCAGGCCCAGAACUUUCUCCAGUCAGCCUCUACAGACCAAGCUCAUGACUCUCAAUGGCCUAUUUAGGCCCAUACCCUACGUCACGGCAGCCUCCGCAGAUGAGGCUACUGCCUCACAACAGCCUCCACAGGCACAGCUCCAUCGUUACAAUGGCCUCUUUAGACCCAGCUCCUGCCUCCCAGCCUUCUCUCCAGGCCCUGAACUUUCUCAGGUCUCCCUCUGUUGUCCAAGGCUGGAGUGUAGUAGUGCUAUCGCAGCUGACUGCAGCCUCAACCUUCCAGGCUGAAGCGAUCCUCCCACCUCAACCUCCCACG
rnacentral:lncRNA from 10 species